rnacentral:lncRNA from 14 species
AGUAUUUAUGCUGCAGAAUACAAGGAUUGAUGUUUUGGAGGCAGAGCAAGCAUUAACAAGUAGAGGACAGGAGUUAGCAGGAAACCAAGGUACGGAUGCCAGGAUUUCUGAGUGGCAGAACAAUGACCUACACCUGGCCAGCACAGGCUGUUUCCUGCCUUGCCAUGUGUGAGCCACUGCAGAAGCUCAAGAAAUGUGUCUGCACUGCCUCUGCUUUGCAAACUACGAUUGUGUAAAGACUGCAAGUGUACAAAAGGAUGCUUCCCAAUCUGGAUGACCGUUUACAGGUCAGUAGUUGAUCAGAUAUUUAAGUUGUUUAAUUGUUUUAUGUUUUGAGAUGUUCCUCCAUUGCGGGUUAUGUACCUUCUUAAAAAAAAAAACCAAAACCAUCAACAAACCAACCAACCAAAACCCCACAACAAAAUCAAAGCUAAAAACCAACCACCCAGAACCCCUCAAACUCCCCUUCCCACCACCCAGGGUGAUAUCCUCAGUUUUAGGGUGUUGAGCACACCAGCUGCAUCCCUUGCCAGAAGAGCCACUUUUGGGAUGCUGUACGAGUACCCUCUAAAUUUCUGCUGUGUACCCUCAGGAGAUGCUGCUGCUGCACUGUCUGCAGAGUUUACACUAUUUCUAGACCAUCUGUAUGCUGAUACAGCUGCUAUUGACCUGGAACUGCACAUCCUGCCACUGUGGCUUACGAAGAAUAAGGUGGGGUUUCUUAUUCAGGUCUAAGGAUGCCUGUGAUCUGAAGUUGUUUUGCAUCUGACUAGAACCGCUUCAUUUGCGUGAAGAUCUAGUGUAUUUCAAUGUACACUGUAACGGAUACUCCUUAACUCUUCUGAAUAUUCCUGUGUAGACAUCCCACUGUGAACUCCAAUCUCCUUGUAUGCAGUACUUGUGAAUACACAAAUAUUCUUCAUUGCUGGUUUUACAGAUGCUGGAGUGAAUGUCCUGUGCUUUAUUUUGUCCACAUUGAUUUUUAAGCUUCUGUAGAAUUCAAAAAGCAAAACACUUCCAUCAAGUGCUGCAAUGGAACUGGAGCUUUAUAUGUACUUGUAUACAAAAAGGUUUUAUCAUGUUUAUGAGUAUGUAAGGAGUGUGGGAAGCAGCACAUCUUGUAUGGCUGUUUUCAGAAUGGUCAUUUUCCAGCCAUUUCUUUUGAGACUGUGGAAAAGAUUCAGUUAGCCUUUCGAUUUCAGCUUGUGUCCUGGAGCCCAAGAAAUGAUGAAAGUAAACAGGGGGGUUUUACUGUCUGGGGAGCUGUUUUCAGUCAUUCACUUCAGCAUGUAGUGCACAUGUGUUCCCAAAAUGCUGUCAUCUCCCAAAGAAGUGUUUGCCAGUACCAAGCUAGCCUUGCUUUUCCUAAUACCUAAAACAGUAUCUCCUGAUGGAGUUUAAGACCACUCCUUUUACUUACCUAAAUUAAAGUGCAUGCAGAGCUAUUGAUUCCUUUCUUUUUACAGUAACUUCUUAUAGUUCUUGAAGAAUGUUGUUAUGUUUCCCCCCUGUCUUCUCUCUAGGUGAGAUGUCAUUUACUUCAGUUCUCCUGGACCAGUUUUCUAGAGUUCGGAUGGUUCCUGUUCUUCCCCACCCACUUGUUUCAGUUGGCUGCCGUUUUUGACAAGGUACCCCAGACUGAACCAUAAGAACUGUGAGGUGGAUCUAGGCACAUUAAAAGACACUUGAACUUCAUGAACCUUCCUAAAUAUUGCAUGGAGGAGUGAAUGCAGACUGUGGGUCCGAAUGGGAAGUUGUGCUGUAUCUGCAGGAGCUGCGCAGGCUCCAAGCAUCUGAGAUCGCUUCUGAAUUUCAAAUCUAGGAAUAUUUCAACUCUCAGAAUUUCACUCAACCCUGGACAUAUUUGUACUUCUACAUGCAGUUUGUGUGGAUACCUGAGCUGACCAAGUUGGGCACAGAUAGCAACAGUGCUGUUACUUUGAACACACAACAAUCGGUAGAGCCUUAUACCUGCAGUAUUCAAAGAGCUUCUGCACCAGAUUUUGCAGUCUGCAGGAUGAAAGCUGUAGGUGGCUGAACUUGCAUGAAUUGACAACUACCUUGUCCUACAUCUAACAGCCCUGUAUGUGCCAUGCAUGUUGAUACGGGCUAGGGCUUUCAUGAAACUGCCUCUACAGGCAGUGGCUCUUACCUGAGCUAGCAGGCUCGUGUAGCAGUGCUGUAUGAACGCUACCUGCACUGCUGGUUGCAGCGCAAAUUUGAGACCUUUGGGCAAUGAUGGUGGUGGGGAGCCCGACCUGCAGUGGUUACACUGCCUUUGGUACCCGAGCAGGCUCGAAGCCGCUGCGGUGAGCCUGACAGAGCUGCCGCCCUGCUCCUGCCUUCCGGGGGGCAACGCGGGCAUGCUAAUAAAAGAGCAGAG